GCGUCCGUGGUGUAAUGGUAACACAGCAGACUUUUAAUCUGUCAGAGUCAGGGUUCGACCCCCUGCGGACGCACCA
rnacentral:tRNA from 1 species